rnacentral:rRNA from 1 species
GUACACGCUGUGACUAGCAUAUCAAUAAGCGGAGGAAAAGAAACUAACAAGGAUUCCCCUAGUAACGGCGAGUGAAGCGGGAAGAGCUCAAAUUUGAAAUCUUAAAGGGUUUCCCUUUACGAAUUGUAGUUUAAAGAAGUGUUUUCUGUUGAGGUUUUGGUAAAAGUUCUUUGGAAUAGGACAUCAUAGAGGGUGAGAAUCCCGUAUUUGACCUUUACUUUCAACUUUGUGAUACACUUUCAAAGAGUCGGAUUGUUUGGGAAUGCAGUCCAAAAUGGGUGGUAAAUUUCAUCUAAAGCUAAAUAUUGGCGAGAGACCGAUAGCGAACAAGUACCGUGAGGGAAAGAUGAAAAGAACUUUGAAAAGAGAGUUAAACAGUACGUGAAAUUGUCAAAAGGGAAGCGUUUGACACCAGUGUUGUUUUUCUGAAAAUCAAUUAAAGAACUGUUUAUGCUAAGCUGUUUAGACUUUAUCAGCUAUCUGUUUAGUUUUGAGCUUUUCUUUAAUGCACUUUUCAGUUAACAAGUCAACAUCAAUUUCUUUUGCCUGUAAAAAAGCUUGAGGAAGGUGGCUUGAGAUUCGUCUUAAGUGUUUAUAGCCUCUUGCCUAUGCAGUCGGAGAGAUUGAGGUCUGCAGCGUAGAUCCUUCGGGGCUAAAUGCAUUUGUGCUAAGUUAUAGCAUUUCAUAGACAACUUGUUGACUAUGAUUUGUCUUGUAGCUUACUCGCUUAUGUUAUUUUACCUACGCUUAGGAUGUUGACGCGCGUGUGUGCGUG